rnacentral:rRNA from 1 species
GACGAACGCUGGCGGCGUGCUUAACACAUGCAAGUCGAACGAAGUGGCGAACGGGUGAGUAACGCGUAAUCAACCUGCCCUUCAGCGGGGAACAACAGUUGGAAACGACUGCUAAUACCGCAUACUGAAGGAGGGGAUUGCGUCUGAUUAGCUAGGUGGAGGGGUAACGGCCCACCAAGGCGAUGAUCAGUAGCCGGUCUUGGAGGGAGAACAGCGACAGUGGGACCGGGACACGGGCCGGACUCCUACGGGAGGCAGCAGGGGGGAAUCUGCCGGCAUGGACGCAAGUCUGACGGAGCAACGCCGCGUGAGUGAUGACGGCCUUCGGGUUGUAAAGCUCUGUUAAUCGGGACGCGGUACCGGCAGAGAAAGCCACGGCUAACUACGUGCCAGCAGCCGCGGUAAUUC